rnacentral:rRNA from 1 species
GACGAACCGUGCAAACGUUAUUCGGAAUCACUGGGCUUAAAGGGUGCGUAGGCGGCCCUGUAGGUGGGAUGUGAAAUCCAACGGCUCAACCGUUGAACUGCGUCCCAAACCACAGGGCUCGAGGGAGACAGAGGUGGGCGGAACUCAAGGUGGAGCGGUGAAAUGCGUUGAUAUCUUGAGGAACACCGGAGGCGAAAGCGGCCCACUGGGUCUCAUCUGACGCUGAGGCACGAAAGCUAGGGGAGCGAACGGG